GUGAUUGGUUGUUAAUAAUAGUAUAUUUAAUAGUGCUUCUUUUGUGGCAAUCAUAUCAAGAAAUAACGUUUCCAAAUCUCAGUAACUGUCUGCUGAUUUGCUUUGCUACAUCAGACUAAUGCAGGUAAUACAUCUCUAAGAUAUUUUUUAGUAUUCUUGGCCAGGAAAAGCUUAUACAAAGCAACUGUGGCUAUGAGGAAUCUGCGAUGCAUAUCAGCACACAUUGCGUUUUGUUAUUGUAUUAAAUUUUGUUAUAUUAUUCUGAUUAAAGGUUCCUUUUGGUUUAUCCUUUCUCAGGGACAUGGAAAAGCAAAAAGUGUUGUGGAAAAGAUUCUUUGUCAUCUCGGCUAGAAAAACAAUUGGAGCAGACAUUGCAGAGGCCCUGGACAAGAUUCCCCGUGGUAAACCUGUAAUUCUGGUGGUGAUGCAUCACACCUCCAAUCUUGAGCAUGUUGUAGCUGAAAGCUGGAGACAGGUGAAGAACGAGAAUGUCCACCUCACUGUGGAUUGUCUGGUUUAUAAGGGAAAACUGCUUGAUUGCAGCUUCAAUGAUAUCAUGUGGUGUAACAUUGGGAAGUUUUUCAGAGUUUCCAUUCACCAGCUCAUUCAGACUUCUAAGUGGCGAAAAUGCAGUUGUUACACUGACCCUCUGAUACUGGGUGUAGGUUUUAUAAUGUGUAUUAUGAUAGUGGCAACUGUGACUAUGGAAGUAGUGCGAAGGAUGAUUUAGAUGUUACUGAGCUGAAUGUUUUUUUUUUAUUAUCUGGAUCAUAAAAAAAGGAAAAUGAUAUAAUGAUAAGAGAUCUGCAACCUUAUGCACAGGGCUACAUGUUCAUUGAAAAAAUGUGUUGUGAGUUUGACAGUGAGAUCUGAGAUGCUAAAAUGUUCUAAAAGAAUAACUUGCUGCUCUUGUCCAAUACUUGUGUGAAAGAAAUCCUCUCUGAAGAGAUGGUCGUGUAAAGUUUGUAUCCAAUGUUUCAGCCAAAGGUGCUAUGAGAUUAAAGUUUUUUAAAGUUCAACAUGUGGCUAUAUUUCCGGUUCACAGUCUCUUUUUGCUUCUUCUUAAGCAAAGCAUUUCCCCUGUGUAUGGCUGUAUGAUAUAAUGUUCUGGUUAAGAUUUAGGUUUUAGUUGAACAGAUUAGUAAGUUUUAAAUAACAGCUCAGAAAGUAAGGAUGCUGUUUUGUGCAAUUUUAUUAAUUAUAUUUAAAUUAUCUGUGAUGAAUACAAAUCAAUUGUAUAUAGUAUUUUAUUUUAUUGUGUACAGUAUCUUAUUCUUAUUCUUAUCAUCUUAUCUUAUUUCAGUGUUUUGUUUUGUUUUCAAAUUUUUGCUAUGUAACUUUACACUGUCCACUUUCUGCUGUAACAAAUCAAAUUGCC
ensembl:lncRNA